rnacentral:rRNA from 1 species
GUGUCAGCAGCCGCGGUAAGACGAACCGAGCGAACGUUGUUCGGAUCACUGGGCUUAAAGGGCGCGUAGGCGGGCUGCCAAGUCUGUGGUGAAAUCCUCCAGCUUAACUGGAGAACGGCCGCGGAUACUGGCGGUCUCGAGGAAGGUAGGGGCAAGUGGAACUGUGCGUGGAGCGGUGAAAUGCGUUGAUAUGCACAGGAACUCCGGUGGCGAAGGCGACUUGCUGGACCUUUUCUGACGCUGAGGCGCGAAAGCUAGGGGAGCGAACGGGAUUAGAUACCCCGGUAGUCC